AGUGAACGCUGGCGGUAGGCCUAACACAUGCAAGUCGAACGGCAGCACAGUAAGAGCUUGCUCUUACGGGUGGCGAGUGGCGGACGGGUGAGGAAUACAUCGGAAUCUACUUUUUCGUGGGGGAUAACGUAGGGAAACUUACGCUAAUACCGCAUACGACCUACGGGUGAAAGCAGGGGAUCUUCGGACCUUGCGCGAUUGAAUGAGCCGAUGUCGGAUUAGCUAGUUGGCGGGGUAAAGGCCGACCAAGGCGACGAUCCGUAGCUGGUCUGAGAGGAUGAUCCGCCACACUGGCACUGAGACACGGUCCAGACUCCUACGGGAGGCAGCAGUGGGGAAUAUUGGACAAUGGGCGCAAGCCUGAUCCAGCCAUACCGCGUGGGUGAAGAAGGCCUUCGGGUUGUAAAGCCCUUUUGUUGGGAAAGAAAAGCAGCAGGUUAAUACCCCGCUGUUCUGACGGUACCCAAAGAAUAAGCACCGGCUAACUUCGUG
rnacentral:rRNA from 1 species